GACGAACGCUGGCGGCGUGCCUAAUACAUGCGAGUAGAACGCUGAAGCAGGAGCUUGCUUCUCUGGAUGAGUUGCGAACGGGUGAGUAACGCGUAGGUAACCUGCCUGGUAGCGGGGGAUAACUAUUGGAAACGAUAGCUAAUACCGCAUAAUAGUAGAUGUUGCAUGACAUUUGCCUAAAAGGUGCAAUUGCAUCACUACCAGAUGGACCUGCGUUGUAUUAGCUAGUUGGUGGGGUAACGGCUCACCAAGGCGACGAUACAUAGCCGACCUGAGAGGGUGAUCGGCCACACUGGGACUGAGACACGGCCCAGACUCCUACGGGAGGCAGCAGUAGGGAAUCUUCGGCAAUGGACGGAAGUCUGACCGAGCAACGCCGCGUGAGUGAAGAAGGUUUUCGGAUCGUAAAGCUCUGUUGUAAGAGAAGAACGAGUGUGAGAGUGGAAAGUUCACACUGUGACGGUAUCUUACCAGAAAGGGACGGCUAACUACGUG
rnacentral:rRNA from 1 species